rnacentral:tRNA from 1 species
UCCCUGGUGGCUCAAAGGGUGAAGCAUCUGCCUGCAGUGCAGGAGACUCAGGUUCAAUCCCUGGUUUGGGAA